rnacentral:rRNA from 1 species
CCUACGGGAGGCAGCAGUAAGGAAUAUUGGUCAAUGGGCGCAAGCCUGAACCAGCCAUGCCGCGUGCAGGAAGACGGCCCUACGGGUUGUAAACUGCUUUUGUACCGGAAUAAACCCUUUUACGUGUAAGAGGCUGAAUGUACGGUAAGAAUAAGGAUCGGCUAACUCCGUGCCAGCAGCCGCGGUAAUACGGAGGAUCCAAGCGUUAUCCGGAUUUAUUGGGUUUAAAGGGUGCGUAGGUGGCUUUUUAAGUCAGGGGUGAAAGACGGUAGCUUAACUAUCGCAGUGCCUUUGAUACUGAAGAGCUUGAAUGAACUAGAGGUAGGCGGAAUGUGACAAGUAGCGGUGAAAUGCAUAGAUAUGUCACAGAACACCAAUUGCGAAGGCAGCUUACUAUGGUUUUAUUGACACUGAGGCACGAAAGCGUGGGGAUCAAACAGGAUUAGAUACCCUGGUAGUCCACGCCCUAAACGAUGAAUACUCGAUGUGGUCGAUAUACGUACGACGUCGUACGUACGACGAAGUACGUUAAGUUACUACCUACGUCGGUAGGUACGCCGACGAGGAGAACUAAUAGUAGUAGACGNGNGAGAGCGCGACGACGACGACGAGGAGGAG